AUACCGGAAACUGAUUUGUGGGAAUUAUUACCUUUACCAUCCCAGGCAGUUUGGCAGAAGGAGUAAGAUCACACUCCCGAGUGGGCUAUUUCACUUAGUGUGGGUUCAUUACUGUCUUGGAGCCUACAUU